UUCCCAGCGGGCACCUUGACGUCAAUUUGACAUCAACAAAUAGUCAAGAUUUUGACCACCAUGUAUGACGUGCAUGAAUAUGCAUAUUUUCAUUAUAUUUUGUAAUUAUUUCCUUGUGGUUGUAAAGAGGCCCAACAAAGGUAUCAAACUGACAUGUUUUUUGUGGUCCCUAUAUCUCAGGUCAAUAUCAUUGACAUUAAAUUGAUGUUGAUUUGAUGUCAGGAAAUAAGAUGUCAAAUUGAUGUUAAAUUUAUGUCAAAACAAUGUCUGAAAAAGUAUAUUUAUUAUUCAUUGUAAAUCAAUGCGACUCAUUUUUAACAUCUUGAAAGUUGUAAUGGGGAGAGUUAAAAUGUAAUAAACACGUGCAAAUAAACUAUUGUUUUUUAUUAUUAUUAUAUUUUCAUAACAGUGUCUAAAAUAUAACAUUUUAAAUAUAAAUUUGAAGAAUACCAUUAAUAAUAAAAUAACAUCAAGAAGUUAAUAUGUUUCAUUCAUACAAGUCAGUUUGGAAUGUUUGAUCCUGACAAAAAAGAAGCGAGGUAAUCUCGCGAGAUUACACGAUACUGGAGAGUUUAACGGCUGUCUGCGUGAUCAUCGAGAAGUGCAUCGAGAGCCCUUCAAAUUAAACAUAGUGAUGGUGAUCUUGUCAAUGCUGAGAUUUUAAUGCAUCAACAGCCAUUACAUCUGUCUGGAUCAGGAUUGAACAAGAAACAGACAGCAAGAGUUGUCAGGUCAGAAACGUGAUGACACACAAACAUAAGAAACUUCACAGGCGGCAAUCUCUUUUUCCACCGGUGGGUGCUCAUCACAACCUCCAGCUUUACUGGACGCCAGGUGCUCUGGAGCGCUCAAAAGCUUUGAAGAGGUGGAAAGCAGUGCAGUCAUGUUUUCGUGUGAUUUUAGAUGCGAAUUGUAAAGUUAAAGGCAGAUCACCAUGCAACUUGGUGAAGUCAUGUGUCUUUCCAGAUGCCAAAAUCUGUACCCCUCAAAAAGACUUUAUUAAAUGCCAUGAUAGCCAAGAUGAGCCUGAAGAGGAGAUUUGGGAAGAUGCUGUUUCAUAAGUCUUUGCUUUGCCAGAUUAUCUGUGGUAGGGGUGUCUGCCAACGUGAUGCCUUGCUGGUCUGGUUUGAGUUUGAAGUCUCUCACAGACAGUCCAGAAGGUCUGGAGUCCAUCUUAGCUUUCAUUGAUGCUGUCAUCAUAUUUUAAGUGCAUAAGCCAGAAUGGAUAGGUGGUGGUGGCCAUAAAAAGACUGUCAACUAAACCAACAACAAAAUUUAUAUUUGCAGUAAUAAAUAAAAUGACUUUUAAACAUGA